GGGUCUUGGGAUAUUUGGGGUUAAGCGUCCUUGGGUUUGAAUAGUACUAGGCUGGGUGACCUCCCGGGAAGUCCAAACUCAGGAGCGU
rnacentral:rRNA from 1 species